rnacentral:rRNA from 1 species
AGUGCGAAUGCUGACAUGAGUAACGAUAAAGGGGGUGAGAGGCCCCCUCGCCGAAAAUCCAAGGUUUCCUGCUCAACGCUAAUCGGAGCAGGGUGAGUCGGUCCCUAAGGCGAGGCAGAAAUGCGUAGUCGAUGGAAAACAGGUUAAUAUUCCUGUACCGGUUGUUACUGCGAUGGGAUGACGGAGAAGGUUAGGUUAGCCAACUGUUGGAUAUGUUGGUUUAAGUGUGUAGGCGUGCUUUAUAGGAAAAUCCGUAGAGCUAAGCUGAGGCAUGAUGACGAGUCUCAAUGGAGACGAAGUAACUGAUACCAGGCUUCCAGGAAAAGUCUCUAAGCUUCAGGUAACAAACGACCGUACCCCAAACCGACACAGGUGGAUGGGA